rnacentral:rRNA from 1 species
GGUAGUGACAAGAAAUAACAAUACGGGGCUUAAUGUCUUGUAAUUGGAAUGAUGGGAAUUUAAACCUCUUCCAGAGUAUCAAUUGGAGGGCAAGUCUGGUGCCAGCAGCCGCGGUAAUUCCAGCUCCAAUAGCGUAUAUUAAAAUUGUUGCAGUUAAAAAGCUCGUAGUUGAAUUUCUGCUGCAUUGCUUUUGCUCCUUUACGAGUCUUUGCAUUGUGGCUUAUUUCGGACUUUGUUUUACAAUGUCCGGAUGUUUACUUUGAGAAAAUUAGAGUGCUCAAAGCAGGCUUUCGCCUUGAAUAGUUUAGCAUGGAAUAAUAAAGUAGGACUUUGGUUCUAUUUUGUUGGUUUUAGGUACCAAAGUAAUGGUUAAUAGGAACAGUUGGGGGCAUUCGUAUUUAACUGUUAGAGGUGAAAUUCUU